rnacentral:rRNA from 1 species
UACGUAGGGGGCAAGCGUUGUCCGGAUUUAUUGGGCGUAAAGAGCGUGUAGGCGGCCAGACAGGUCCGUUGUGAAAACUCGGGGCUCAACCUCGAGAUGUCGAUGGAAACCGUCUGGCUAGAGUCCGGAAGAGGAGUGUGGAAUUCCUGGUGUAGCGGUGAAAUGCGCAGAUAUCAGGAAGAACACCUAUGGCGAAGGCAGCACUCUGGGACGGUACUGACGCUGAGACGCGAAAGCGUGGGGAGCAAACAGG